GUAAACAUAGUUUAAUAAAAACAUUAGAUUGUGAAUCUAAUAAUAGAAGUUUAAACCUUCUUAUUUACC
rnacentral:tRNA from 1 species